rnacentral:tmRNA from 1 species
GGGCUUGAACGCGCAUCGGAAGUCGCUUACAUGACGCCCCGUCAGCUUGCUGACUAUGGCGAUAAACGGCGCGUGGAAUAAACGUUGUGGACCCGGGGGCAGUGCCCGGCGCCUCCACCAGUUUCCCCGGAUAUCCGGGAUCAUGGGGGCGAAACAGGCUCGACACGCGUAGUAAAGACCCGCUCUUUGCUCGGCAUUGUACCGCCGUUAUCGGGCUAACACACAAGUGCCAACGAUAAUGAGGCGCUCGCUGUCGCUGCAUAAGCGAUAAGCGCGGUUCGGGGGGCACCGGGCAACAGAAGCCCCCCAAU